rnacentral:rRNA from 1 species
GACGAACGCUGGCGGCGUGCUUAACACAUGCAAGUCGAACGGAAAGGCCCUGCUUUUGUGGGGUGCUCGAGUGGCGAACGGGUGAGUAACACGUGAGUAACCUGCCCUUGACUUUGGGAUAACUUCAGGAAACUGGGGCGAAUACAGGAUAGGAGCUCCUGCUGCAUGGGGGGGGUGGGAAAGUUUCGGCGGUUGGGGAUGGACUCGCGGCUUAUCAGCUUGUUGGUGAGGUAGUGGCUUACCAAGGCAUUGACGGGUAGCCGGCCUGAGAGGGUGACCGGCCACAUUGGGCCUGGGAUACGGGCCAUACUCCUACGGGAGGCAGGAGUGGGGAAUAUUGCACGAUGGGCGGAAGCCGGAUGCAGCAACGCCGCGUGCGGGAUGACGGCCUUCGGGUUGUAAACCGCUUUCGCCUGUGACGAAGCGUGAGUGACGGUAAUGGGUAAAGAAGCACCGGCUAACUACGUG